UUCUGAAAUAAAGAAAAAUUGUUUUUAAUUAUACAGUUGUAAUUUAGGAAAUGCAUUAUACCCGCUACCCGCUACAAGGAUGUUAUAAUUAUUAUUUUUGUAGGGCCAACGGGAAGUCUAAGAAACUGAGCCGUUUGAUAUCAUUAUGAGUGUCUGAUCUCGGAGAUUGUAAUAAAACUCCUAGAAAAUUAAUCGCAGCUUGAUCCAUUUUAAUGACAGCGGGCAGCGGGUAUUUAACACAUUCGACUUUGGCGUUCCACUGAUUUUGUAAACUAACUUUUUAUGACAAACCCAUUGAACGAAUACUGUUCGAUCUGCUUCGUGGGUGUAAACUCUACUCUUUCAAUCACACUGGCGGGACUGCCUUUGGUCUCAAGCCAAUGUUUCCUGCAAACGACUUUCAAUUAAGAAGGCACCGAAUAAAGCAAUUUUCCAAUUUACAUUUGGUUCAGAGGAAUAAGAGGUGCUUCCAAUUCGCCCUUAACUGUUCCAUUGAUGGUAUUAACGCACCAGCCUCGUACUCCUAAGGUGUUUGCCUUCCUCUCCGUGUACUAUAAUCACAUAUGAACCAAAUGGAAUGUCCAUGACCCUUAUAAUUUUAAGUCCUAGUUAAAUAAUUUUACGCUCUUACCUUGCGAAAGAAGACACCUGCAAAGUAGGAAAGUGAAAUUGUAAAUUUACAAAGGUAAAAGAAACGAUAUGGGAUCAACAGACGGGAUCAUUAUUAUAAUACCUUGGACUUUUCCAAAUACUUCAAAGCAACACGUAUAUAAUGCUGUCGACGACAUUUUAUUUCCCGUUGCUGGCGAAGAUAUCAGUGCGAUUGCAAUAAAUAUUAUUUGUAUUUUGACAAAUAAAUCU